rnacentral:rRNA from 1 species
AAACCAGCACCUCAAGUGGUCAGGAUGAUUAUUGGGCCUAAAGCAUCCGUAGCCUGUUGCAUAAGUUUUCGGUUAAAUCCAUAUGCUCAACAUAUGGGCUGCCGGGAAUACUGUGCAACUAGGGAGUGGGAGAGGUAGACGGUACUCGGUAGGAAGGGGUAAAAUCCUUUGAUCUAUUGAUGACCACCUGUGGCGAAGGCGGUCUACCAGAACACGUUCGACGGUGAGGGAUGAAAGCUGGGGGAGCAAACCGGAUUAGAAACCCCGGUAGUCC